UCCUGGUUGAUGCUGAUCAUCACCUAGAGGUUUUGUAAUUUAAUUAUGAGAUUGUAACAUCACAAGAUCAAAGGACUUUUGGGGGUAACAUGGAGGGUGGGGAAGUGGAAGAGGUAGGGUAGAGUGUCCAAACCAGGCUCUCGAGCCUGGAUAAUGGUGCAUGGAAUAAUGGAAUAGGACCUCUGCUCUAUUUUGUUGGUUUUUGGAGCGCGAGGUAAUAAUUAAGAGGGACAGACGGGGGCAUUCGUACUGUGCCGUUAGAGGUAAAUUCUUGGAUCGCCACAAGACGAACGACUGUGAAACAAUUUGCCAAGAAUGUUUUCUUUAACCAAGA
rnacentral:ncRNA from 1 species